AUUGGGUAUUCCUCUGCAAACCUGAAACUGCGAGUGCUUGGUCCGAGUUGGGCAAGUUGGUGUUUCUUAACUAUGAAAGUCUGAUACGGGUCUUCCCCUAAACUUCUGUUAGAACGGUGGGAAACAUUGCUCCCGCGAGAACGGUAUAGUGGACUUCAUCGCCACUGACCCACAUUUAUUAGGGUGUGACACGAACUUGUGGACAGAGUACCGAGCUGCUGCUUUGCCAGGUGGAUCUCUGGCUGCGGGCAAAGGACCCGACACUUCAGUGUGUUUUAAUUUGUUUUAAACUGGUGUAAGUCGACAGACUGACUGUUGCGGCUGUCGAUGUUUUUGUUUUUUUUUUUGUUUAAAUCUUUUCUGUAUCAGUAGGCACCACAGAUAUGGAUUCUUUUAGUAUUUUAACCCUUUUUUUAAUAUAUAUAUUGUCGCAGACGGUGAAGGCGCUGCAGGGAAAACAAAUCCUUUUUUUGUCUC